UGGGGAAUUUUGGACAAUGGGCGAAAGCCUGAUCCAGCAAUGCCGCGUGUGUGAAGAAGGCCUUCGGGUUGUAAAGCACUUUUGUCCGGAAAGAAAUCCUUGGCUCUAAUACAGUCGGGGGAUGACGGUACCGGAAGAAUAAGCACCGGCUAACUACGUGCCAGCAGCCGCGGUAAUACGUAGGGUGCAAGCGUUAAUCGGAAUUACUGGGCGUAAAGCGUGCGCAGGCGGUUUGCUAAGACCGAUGUGAAAUCCCCGGGCUCAACCUGGGAACUGCAUUGGUGACUGGCAGGCUAGAGUAUGGCAGAGGGGGGUAGAAUUCCACGUGUAGCAGUGAAAUGCGUAGAUAUGUGGAGGAAUACCGAUGGCGAAGGCAGCCCCCUGGGCCAAAUACUGACGCUCAUGCACGAAAAGCGUGGGGAGCAAAACAGGAUUAGAUACCCUGGUAGUCCACGCCCUAAAACGAUGUCAACUAGUUGUUGGGGAUUCAUUUCCUUAGUAACGUAGCUAACGCGUGAAGUUGACCGCCUGGGGAGUACGGUCGCAAGAUUAAAAACUCAAAGGAAUUGACGGGGUCAUAGCUGUUUCCU
rnacentral:rRNA from 1 species